rnacentral:rRNA from 1 species
CAGUCGCCGCGGUAAUACGAAGGGGGCUAGCGUUGUUCGGAUUUACUGGGCGUAAAGCGCACGUAGGCGGAUCGAUCAGUCAGGGGUGAAAUCCCAGAGCUCAACUCUGGAACUGCCUUUGAUACUGUCGAUCUGGAGUAUGGAGGAGGUGAGUGGAAUUCCGAGUGUAGAGGUGAAAUUCGUAGAUAUUCGGAGGAACACCAGUGGCGAAGGCGGCUCACUGGUCCAUUACUGACGCUGAGGUGCGAAAGCGUGGGGAGCAAACAGGAUUAGAUACCCCUGUAGUCCCUGUCUCUUAUAC